rnacentral:rRNA from 1 species
GACGAGGGGUCCUAGCGUUGUUCGGAAUCACUGGGCGUAAAGUGUAUGUAGGCGGGCUUUUAAGUCAGGUGUGAAAUCCCAUGGCUCAACCAUGGAAUUGCAUUUGAAACUGGAAGUCUUGAGUGUGGGAGAGAUUGGUAGAAUACCUGGUGUAGUGGUGAAAUACGUAGAUAUCAGGUGGAAUACCGGUGGCGAAGGCGGCCAAUUGGCCCAACACUGACGCUGAGAUACGAAAGCGUGGGGAUCAAACAGG